rnacentral:rRNA from 1 species
UUCGGAAUUACUGGGCGUAAAGCGCACGUAGGCGGAUUGUUAAGUCAGAGGUGAAAUCCCGGAGCUCAACUUCGGAACUGCCUUUGAUACUGGCAAUCUAGAGUCCGGAAGAGGUUAGUGGAAUUCCCAGUGUAGAGGUGAAAUUCGUAGAUAUUGGGAAGAACACCAGUGGCGAAGGCGGCUAACUGGUCCGGUACUGACGCUGAGGUGCGAAAGCGUGGGGAGCAAACAGG